UUUAUGACAAAGGGAUUAUUUAUGCUUAGUGUUUCUUUAUAAAUUUAUAUUUUUAUCUUAAAAAGUAAAUAACGAAAUAAUUGCAAAUUUAUUUAUAUUUAUAAUUUGUGUGAACAUAAUAAAUAAUAUAUGAACUGAAAAAAUGAAAAACACCAACUUAAACGUGGAUAAUUUUUUCCAAUUUUAAAAUGAAAAGAUAAUCAGUGUUUUUAAAUUCAGAUUAGUCCAGGGAUCGAAUUUGGUUAAACCGUCAACGUAUCUCAAUUGAAUAAAUACAAAACGAAAAAUAGUUGAGCGGAUAAAUUCUUCAUAGAAAAAUGACAAAAAUCGAAAUCAAUAAACCGAAUAAAACCAAAAUUUAUUUAUAAUAC
rnacentral:lncRNA from 1 species